GGUGAACGCUGGCGGCGGGCCUAAUACAUGCAAGUCGAGCGAACACACAAUGAGCUUUCUCCUCUGACGUUAGCGACUGACGGGUGGGUAACACGUGGAUAACCUACCUAUAUUACUUGGAGAACUUCGUGAAGCCGGAUCUGAUACCAGAUAAUAUAUUGAACCGCAUGGUUCAAUAGUGAAAGGCGGUUUUCCUGUCACUUAUAGAUGGAUCCGCGCCGCAUUAGCUAGGUGGUAAGGUAACGGCUUAACAAGGCAACGAUGCUUAGCCGACCUGAUAGGGAGAACCGCCAACAUGGGAAUGAGAACAGGUCCCGAAUCCUAAGGGAGGGAGGCGUAGGGAAUCUUGCGACAUGGGCGGAAGCCUGACGCCGCCCAGACGCGUGAGUGAUGAAGGUCUUCGGAUCGUAAAACCCUGUUAUUAGGGAAAAAAAAAUGUGAAAGUAACUCCGCACGUCUUGAAGGUAACCCAUCAGAAAGCCACCGCUAAACACGUG
rnacentral:rRNA from 1 species